rnacentral:rRNA from 1 species
AGUGAACGCUGGCGGUAGGCCUAACACAUGCAAGUCGAACGGCAGCACAGUACUAGCUUGCUCUUACGGGUGGCGAGUGGCGGACGGGUGCGGAAUACAUCGGAAUCUACUUUUUCGUGGGGGAUAACGUAGGGACACUUACGCUAAUACCGCAUACGACCUACGGGUGAAAGCAGGGGAUCUUCGGACCUUGCUCGAUUGAAUGAGCCGAUGUCGGAUUAGCUAGUUGGCGGGGUAAAGGCCCACCAAGGCGACGAUCCGUAGCUGGUCUGAGAGGAUGAUCAGCCACACUGGAACUGAGACACGGUCCAGACUCCUACGGGAGGCAGCAGUGGGGAAUAUUGGACAAUGGGCGCAAGCCUGAUCCAGCCAUACCGCGUGGGUGAAGAAGGCCUUCGGGUUGUAAAGCCCUUUUGUUGGGAAAGAAAAGCAGCAGGUUAAUACCCCGCUGUUCUGACGGUACCAAAAGAAUAAGCACCGGCUAACUUCGUG